rnacentral:rRNA from 1 species
AACAAACGCUGGCGGCGUGCCUAAUACAUGCAAGUCGAACGGGGAAAGUAGCAAUAUGAGUACUAGUGGCGCACGGGUGAGUAACGCGUGGAUAAUCUGCCUUGAAGAGGGGGAUAACUAGUCGAAAGAUUAGCUAAUACCCCAUAAAACCACAAGAACUGAGGUUCAAGGGGUCAAAGGUUUUUCGCUUCAAGAUGAGUCCGCGUAAGAUUAGCUAGUUGGUGAGGUAAUGGCUCACCAAGGCAACGAUCUUUAACUGGUCUGAGAGGAUGAUCAGUCACACUGGAACUGAGACACGGUCCAGACUCCUACGGGAGGCAGCAGUAGGGAAUAUUGCACAAUGGAGGAAACUCUGAUGCAGCGACGCCGCGUGAGUGAUGAAGGCCUUCGGGUCGUAAAGCUCUGUCGCAGGGGAAUAACACAAUGAAUGUACCCUGUAAGAAAGGAUCGGCUAACUUCGUG